AAACUUUACCUCUGCCCACUUAGGGUAGUCAAAACUAGCCAUGAAAAUUACAUAGGUUAACAAGGAAAAAGCAUAACAUUGUAAACCUUAUGUAAGAAAAGAGCCUUGCAAAGGAAAUGAAGAUUAAAAUGACAGUGUAUAAAUCCUUUAACAUUACUUGCACAAGGGGUAAUAAUAGUAAAUUAUGUAGAAUGGCUAAAAGAUUGUAUUUAUUAUUUCUGACCCUAGCAUGUUUAUGCAGAAUUCUUUUAAAUAUAAAUCCUGGUUGAAAAUUAUUCCUGAGCUUGGCGUGGUGGCGUAUGCCUUUAAUCCCAGCACUCAGGAGGCAGAGGCAGGAGAAUUUCUGAGUUUGAGGCCAGCCUGGUCUACAAAGUGAGUUCCAGGACAGCCAGGGCUAUACAGAGAAACCCUGUCUCAAAAAAAAAAAAAGAAAAAGAAAAAAGAAAAGAAAGAAAGAAAAAGAAAGAAAGAAAGAAAGAAAAGAAAAGAAAAGAAAGAAAAGAAAAGAAAAGAAAAGAAAAGAAAGAAAAAAGAAAAUUAUUCCCAUUGUCCCAUGUCAGAAGGGUUUUUUCACAUUAAAGAGUAUUUUUGAACGUGUUUCUUUUCAUUUUUGAUAAUCUUAAAAAUGCAUACUAUGGUGAGAUCAAGUCUACCCUUUCUCCUUCAUCCAACUCCACUCACGCCCACCACUCUCUCUCAAAUUAAUUACUAUCUCUCAUUAUUAUAUUUACAUAAACACAUUUUAUGUGUAUGCAUAGGUGUAUGUCUGUGUGUUUCUGUGUAAAUCCGACUGAGACUAUUUAUUUUUGCCCAUAUGUACGCAAUGCUUAGUGCUGACUACUUGGGAUUAGAUAACCUAACAAAGAGCCCCGCCCUGGAGAGAAGGUCCUCAAUGUGUAUGAUCCCCCUUCAGGAUAUAGUUGUAAAAUUUUCACACUGAUAAUAGCAUCUCUCAUGUUUUAUCAAACAUGUUUUUGUUCUGCUCUCAAUUGAUGAAGUCUAUCAUGAAGAUCCACAACUUCUUAAACAGAAAUAAUAAAGUUCGUUCAAGUGUUCAAUACCAAUUAGUCAACACAGUCUCUAUUCCUAAAUCUGAGGACACAGGAAAAAGAGAAGAAAGAUUAUAAGUGACAGAGGACUAUAAUAUCCACUGUUACAUUGUGUUUUCUUGACAUGACAGAGAAGCUGUACUGUGAAAUAUUAACAAUGUAGUUGCCUAAACAAGACACACAUAAUAGUAACACCAGUCACAUGAAAAAUUUUAAGUUUUUGUUUGGAAAAAGGAAAACAGAUAUCUAAGUGUCUGACUACACUUGUAUUUCCUGGGGGCUUUUAAUAAAAACAAUUCACACCAAAGCAACACUUUUAUUAGGGAUGAAUAGUCUGCCAACCUUCAAAGCAAUAGAUACCAAUGAAUGUCAACCAAUGGUUCUCCAUUAUUCUUGACAGAGUAGGAGUUUUCUCACAGGGAAACAUGCCAAACUAUCCAUAUCAGUUGUGGGAAUCAAAAAAGGCAAAAGGAAACAAAGAAGUGAAAACUAAUUC
rnacentral:lncRNA from 1 species